rnacentral:rRNA from 1 species
CCUUCGGGGCUCUUUGGUGAUUCAUGAUAACUUUACGGAUCGCAUAGCCUUGCGCUGGCGACGGUUCAUUCAAAUUUCUGCCCUAUCAACUUUCGAUGGUAAGGUAUUGGCUUACCAUGGUUUCAACGGGUAACGGGGAAUUAGGGUUCGAUUCCGGAGAGGGAGCCUGAGAAACGGCUACCACAUCCAAGGAAGGCAGCAGGCGCGCAAAUUACCCAAUCCCGACACGGGGAGGUAGUGACAAUAAAUACUGAUACAGGGCUCUUUUGGGUCUUGUAAUUGGAAUGAGUACAAUUUAAACCUCUUAACGAGGAACAAUUGGAGGGCAAGUCUGGUGCCAGCAGCCGCGGUAAUUCCAGCUCCAAUAGCGUAUAUUAAAGUUGUUGCAGUUAAAAAGCUCGUAGUUGAAACUUGGGCCUGGCUGGCGGGUCCGCCUCACCGCGUGCACUCGUCCGGCCGGGCCUUCCUUCUGAAGAACCUCAUGCCCUUCACUGGGCGUGUUGGGGAAUCAGGACUUUUACUUUGAAAAAAUUAGAGUGUUCAAAGCAGGCCUUUGCUCGAAUACGUUAGCAUGGAAUAAUAAAAUAGGGCGUGCGUUUCUAUUUUGUUGGUUUCUAGAGACGCCGCAAUGAUUAACAGGAACAGUCGGGGGCAUCAGUAUUCAGUUGUCAGAGGUGAAAUUCUUGGAUUUACUGAAGACUAACUACUGCGAAAGCAUUUGCCAAGGAUGUUUUCAUUAAUCAGUGAACGAAAGUUAGGGGAUCGAAGACGAUCAGAUACCGUCGUAGUCUUAACCGUAAACUAUGCCGACUAGGGAUCGGGCGAUGUUCUUUUUCUGACUCGCUCGGCACCUUACGAGAAAUCAAAGUUUUUG